rnacentral:rRNA from 1 species
AUUGAACGCUGGCGGCAGGCCUAACACAUGCAAGUCGAGCGGAGCGGCGGACGGGUGAGUAAUGCCAACGAAUCUGCCUGGUAGUGGGGGAUAACGUCCGGAAACGGGCGCUAAUACCGCAUACUUUCCGAUUAGCCUAGGUCGGAUUAGUUAGUUGGUGGGGUAAAGGCCUACCAAGGCUACGAUCCGUAACUGGCGUGAGGGGAUGAUCAGUCACUCUGGAACGGAACAAGGGUCAAGCCUCCAACGGGAGGCAGCGGUGGGGAAUAUUGGACAAUGGGCGAAAGCCUGAGCCAGCCAGGCCGCGGGUGGGAGGAAGGUCUUCGGAUGGUAAAGCACUUUAAGUUGGGAGGCGUUACCAGCAGAAUAAGCAACGGCUAACUACGUGCCAGCAGCCGCGGUAAUAC